ensembl:snoRNA small nucleolar RNA SNORA42/SNORA80 family
ACAUGUCCUAAUGGUGGGCCCUUCUCUGUGGACCUCUCAUAGUGGACCCAUGCUAGAGUACAUUGCAGCCUUGAACCAUUGCUCAGCCUCCUUACCUGUGGGCCGUGAGCACUGAAGGGGGUUGUUGAGUA